rnacentral:tRNA from 1 species
UGGGAUGUAGCCAAGUGGCAAGGCGAAGGGCUUUGGUCCCUGGAUCGAAGGUUCGAUUCCUUCCAUCCCAA